CUAUGUUAUCAGAUGAUAACUUUGAGGAGGAGGAAUGUGAGGAUCUACGACGACUUGUGAAAGAAGGGCUCUUUAAGAGGCCUAACAUUAUGAAAAAUCAUUCCUCCAUCAAAUGACACAUGACUGAUUAAGGAUGAAUUCAAAGCCCACAUGAAUGAUUAAGAAUGAAUUCAAAGCCCAAUAUCUGAUCCCUUGGAUGAUUAUAUGCAUACCAACUCUUUAGAGGAUUCUUUGCAUCACGUGUAAGUUGAUGCAAUAUAACUCAAUCAAGCCACAAUAGCUUGCAAAAGCCCAAUUCAUUGUUAGCCAAUUAUAAGGUCCCAAACCAAGUUGCAAUUGGGCUAAAGCUAGAGUUGUAUUUAGAUUUUUUUGAUCCCACAGGCAUUUUUGGUCAAAUUUCCCUUAAUUUUUGUUUGAAUUAUUUUAUUACAUUAAUUAUUUCCUUGGAUAAUCUUAGGCUUGAUUUAGAAUGUUUAAUAGGAAUAUAUUUAUUCUUGAUUAUCAUUUGAUUUAUUUUCAAAGCAUUUGACCUUAUUUUCAUAAAUAAAGAUUUUGGCAUCUGUUUAGGUUAUUGAAGAUUUAUGUUUAUUAAAUGAAAAUUAUUUGUGUAAGGCCAAUUGAGA